rnacentral:rRNA from 1 species
UACGGAGGGGGCUAGCGUUGUUCGGAAUUACUGGGCGUAAAGCGCACGUAGGCGGCUUUGUAAGUUAGAGGUGAAAGCCCGGGGCUCAACUCCGGAAUUGCCUUUAAAACUGCAUCGCUAGAAUUGUGGAGAGGUAAGUGGAAUUCCGAGUGUAGAGGUGAAAUUCGUAGAUAUUCGGAAGAACACCAGUGGCGAAAGCGGCUCACUGGAUCUCUUCUGACGCUGAGGCACGAAAGCUAGGGUAGCGAACGGG